GUAAUAGAGUUUGAUCCUGGCUCAGAGUGAACGCUGGCGGUAGGCCUAACACAUGCAAGUCGAACGGCAGCACAGUAAGAGCUUGCUCUUACGGGUGGCGAGUGGCGGACGGGUGAGGAAUACAUCGGAAUCUACCUUUUCGUGGGGGAUAACGCAGCUCCUAUAUCCGCUAAUACCGCAUACGACCUUCGGGUGAAAGCAGGGGACCUUCGGGCCUUGCGCGGAUAGAUGAGCCGAUGUCGGAUUAGCUAGUUGGCGGGGUAAAGGCCCACCAAGGCGACGAUCCGUAGCUGGUCUGAGAGGAUGAUCAGCCACACUGGAACUGAGACACGGUCCAGACUCCUACGGGAGGCAGCAGUGGGGAAUAUUGGACAAUGGGCGCUACCCUUUCCAGCCAUACCGCGUGGGUGAAGAAGGCCGUGGGACCUCCCUUUGUUGAGAAAGAAAAGCAAGCGAUUC
rnacentral:rRNA from 1 species